rnacentral:rRNA from 1 species
UACGUAGGGUGCAAGUGUUAAUCGGAAUUACUGGGCGUAAAGCGUGCGCAGGCGGUUUUGUAAGUCUGACGUGAAAUCCCCGGGCUUAACCGAGGAACGACGCAUGAUACUGGCAAGCUAGAGUACCAAAGAGGGGGAUGGAAUUCCUGGUGUAGCGGUGAAAUGCGCAGAUAUCAGGAAGAACACCCGUGGCUAAGGCGGUUCUCUAGUACGGUACUGACGCUGAGACGCGAAAGCGUGGGGAGCGAACAGG